GUGGGUACAGCUCAGGGGUAGAGCGUGUGCUUAGCAUGCAUGAGGUCCUGGGUUCAAUCCCUAGUACCUCCA
rnacentral:tRNA from 1 species